GGGGGACGGAGAAGGCUAUGUUGGCCGGGCGACGGUUGUCCCGGUUUAAGCGUGUAGGUGUGUGUUCCAGGUAAAUCCGGUUCACUUUAACACUGAGGCGUGACGACGAGGCACUACGGUGCUGAAGCAACAAAUGCCCUGCUUCCAGGAAAAGCCUCUAAGCAUCAGGUAACAUCAAAUCGUACCCCAAACCGACACAGGUGGUCAGGUAGAGAAUACCAAGGCGCUUGAGAGAACUCGGGUGAAGGAACUAGGCAAAAUGGUGCCGUAACUUCGGGAGAAGGCACGCUGACAC
rnacentral:rRNA from 5 species